rnacentral:rRNA from 1 species
AGCUCUGUAAGCGUAUACCAAAGUUGUUGCAGUUAAAACGCUCGUAGUCGGAAGUUGGUAAUUCCGGGUGUGUGCGCGUCGUGCGCGCGCAUCGCAGGGAUUGCUUUUGUGGGCAUGCGUGGGAUGAGGCAACUUUAUUGUUGAACGUCCUUGCGCGACCACUCUUUACUGUGAGAAAAUCAGAGUGUUCAAAGCAGGCAAUUGCCGUGAAUGCAUUAGCAUGGAAUAAUAGAAUAGGACUUGGUUCUAUUUUGUUGGUUUGUGAGAGCCGAGUAAUGAUUAAGAGGGACAGUUGGGGGCAUUUGUAUUCCAUCGCUAGAGGUGAAAUUCUUAGAUUGAUGGAAGACAAACUGCUGCGAAAGCGUCUGCCAAGGAUGUUUUCA